UAGCAACAGGAAAUGCUAGUUGGGUUACCACGUGACAACCAUCAGUGUUUUGCCAUCUCCUCCAUUGGUGAAGUUGCUCUGGAAUAGGGUUGAGCCUAUUAUUCUCAUAAAUUUUCCCAUUAUUCUUUCUGGAAAUUCUCAAUAUUUUCCCCCAUUAUUCUUUUCAUUUUAUCCUAUUAUUCUCAAUUUAUUCUCAAUAAUUUUCUCAAACAAUCAAUUUUCACAUAAGAAUUGCAUUCCAGCAGUGUUUUACAAAUAGGUCUUCCAAAAAACACUAGCCAAAAAUUUUUUAAUUUUCUUCUGCAAUCACCAUUGACCUCAACUCCACCCAUUAUUCCACUAUUAUUCCUAUUUCAACCCAAUUAUUCCAGCAUUAUUCCUCAUAUGAGGAAGCCCCUAUUAUUCCUAAAAUUAUGCUGGAAUAAUAGGCUCAUCCCUACUCUGGAAGGAUUUCGAAGGAAAUUUGUGUUGCUCCAGGAUAGCGCUUGCUUAUGAUCUAUAGCCUAUUGCACAAAGAAUUUUUACAGCUACCUACAGCAAGGUUUUUGUCUCUGUAAAGCUAUUUUGCAAACAGUUAUAGGUACAACAAAAUCAAUUUUUUUCGAUACACUUUAGCUCUUGUAACAAACUCAUACUUCAUAGAUUCUAACUCUAACCUGUAUAAUUACUUUCAAAAGUGUAAGCUUUUUCAUAUGAUUAUAAUGGUUUCCAGUUUUACUUUAGCAUGUUUUGAGAAAAGGGAGAAUAAUGAAAUAAAUGGCAUUUUAAGAGUAAAAAUGGGCUGUAUCAUUAAAACUAUAACAUUUUCUGUACAAUAGAUAACAGUAGUGUUGAGAGGAAACAUCAGGCUUCUUGAUGCAUCAGUUUCACUUAAAUGAGAAGUUGAGAACAGUCCUUCGCCAGAUAUUGCAGUCGCGACGCCAACGGUAAGCUCACGUGAAUUUUAUUUUCCAAGUGACGUCAUAAUGGCUGCCAAGUGAUGGAUAAAGCUGUGUUUAGUUUUGUGCAGUUUACAAGAUGGUGGGUAGUCUAUAGCUCUAAGAAGCAAACUCAAACUUGAAGCAAAAAGAUUCCACACUCAGGAUCAUUAAUCAAGUCAUUUUACCUCAAUAGAAUUGUUUGAAAUCCUUUUAGAGCUAGAUUUUAUACUUGUCAUUAUAGUCAUAUUAUGUGCCAUUGACUUUCAGAGACCACAGCAUCCUUAUUUCUUGCUAGAACAACUGUAAACUUCUGGAGUAUAUUCUUCUAGCUACUAUCUUGUUGUAAGCAAAUGGACAAGAAGCUGGAGUUGUCUAGAACACUGUACGCAUCCGGUAAAGUCAAGGACAUCAGUUGCUUGCAGUUCUGUUAUAGUUUAUUUAAACUGGUUGAUGUUUUUCAUGGUGAUAAAUAUGUAUGUUCUGUGUAUUGUAUGCAAAUUUCAUAGUAAAACUAUUAAAUGAAAAAUAAA